rnacentral:rRNA from 1 species
GGGCCCGCACAAGCGGUGGAGUAUGUGGUUUAAUUCGAUGCAACGCGAAGAACCUUACCAGGGUUUGACAUCCUGCGAAUCUCUUGGAAACAGGAGAGUGCCUUCGGGAACGCAGUGACAGGUGGUGCAUGGCUGUCGUCAGCUCGUGUCGUGAGAUGUUGGGUUAAGUCCCGCAACGAGCGCAACCCACGUCUUUAGUUGCCAGCAUUUAGUUGGGCACUCUAGAGAGACUGCCGGUGAUAAACUGGAGGAAGGCGGGGACGACGUCAAGUCAUCAUGGCCCUUACGACCAGGGCUACACACGUACUACAAUGCUACGGACAAAGGGCAGCAAGUUCGCGAGGACAAGCAAAUCCCAUAAACCGUGGCUCAGUUCAGAUCGUAGGCUGCAACUCGCCUACGUGAAGGCGGAAUCGCUAGUAAUCG